rnacentral:rRNA from 1 species
GAAAGUAAAGAAGGGCGCAUGGCGGAUGCCUUGGCUCUCGGAGGCGAUGAAGGACGUGAUAAGCUGCGAUAAGCUUUGGGGAGGUGCAAAUGACCUUUGAUCCAGAGAUUUCCGAAUGGGACAACCCAAUAUCUUGAAGAGGUAUUAUCCAACGUUGUUGGAGGCUAACGCAGGGAACUGAAACAUCUUAGUACCUGCAGGAAAAGAAAAUAAACAAUGAUUCCCCCAGUAGUGGCGAGCGAACGGGGAACAGCCCAAACCAUCCAUGUUACGGCAUGGGUGGGGUUGUAGGACUACGCCGUUGCAUGAAGACAUCAGAGAAGAACUUUCUGGAAAGAAAGACCAUAGAGCAUGACAGUUGCGUAUUCGAAUGUUGUCGAAGCAUAGUAGUAUCCUGAGUAGCGCGGAGCACGAGGAAUUCUGCGUGAAUCUGCCGGGACCAUCCGGUAAGGCUAAAUACUCCCGAGAGACCGAUAGCGAACCAGUACCGUGAGGGAAAGGUGAAAAGCACUUCGAACAGAAGAGUGAAAUAGUUCCUGAAACCGUGCGCCUACAAGCGGUCGGAGCUCGUUAAUGAGUGACGGCGUGCCUUUUGCAUAAUGAACCUACGAGUUGCCUUUGCCGGCAAGGUUAAGUGUGACGACACACGUAUCCGAAGCGAAAGCGAGUCUGAACAGGGCGUAUAGUCGGCAGUGGCAGACGCGAAACCAAGUGAUCUACCCUUGGCCAGGUUGAAGGCUGGGUAACACCAGCUGGAGGACCGCACCAAUAAGCGUUGAAAAGCUUCUGGAUGAGCUGAGGGUAGGGGUGAAAGGCUAAUCAAACUUGGAGAUAGCUCGUACUCCCCGAAAUGCAUUUAGGUGCAGCCUUGCGGGUUACUGAUGUGAGGUAGAGCGACUGAUAAGAUGCGAGGGCUUCACCGCCUAUCAAGUCUUGACAAACUCCGAAUGCGCAUCAGUUCUACCGCAGGAGUGAGGGCAUGGGUGCUAAGGUCCGUGCCCGAGAGGAGAAGAAUCCGGACCACCUGCUAAGGUCCCGAAAUGACAGCUAAGUUAAACUAACGAAGUCUGACUGCUAAGACAGCUAGGAUGUUGGCUUGGAAGCAGCCAUUCAUUUAAAGAGUGCGUAACAGCUCACUAGUCGAGGAGUCGGGCGUGGAUAAUAAUCGGGUAUCAAGUUGUCUACCGAAGCAGUGGGAUCAUUGAUAUGAUCGGUAGGGGAGCAUUCCAGUCGGCGUCGAAGGCGUACCGUGAGGUAUUCUGGAGCGUCUGGAAAAGCAAAUGUAGGUAUAAGUAACGAUAAAGGGGGCGGGAAACCCCCUCGCCGAAAGACUAAGGUUUCCUGAUCAACGCUAAUCGGAUCAGGGUCAGUCGGGUCCUAAGGCUCAGCCGAACGGCGAUGCCGAUGGCAGAAACGGUUAAUAUUCCGUUACUACCUUCAGGAGUGACGUGGAGACGCAGUAGUGACAGUGCCGCCAUCUGACGGAAUAGAUGGUUGAAGGGUGUAGGAGUCGAUCAUGGCAGGCAAAUCCACCAUGAGAUCCGAACCUGACAGUAUGCCGCGUCCUUCGGGACAAGGCAAUAGUGCGCGUAAGCAUGCUGCCGAGAAAAUCCGCUAAACUUAAUCCUGCAGGUACCCGUACCGCAAACGGACACACGUAGUCGGGAUGAAUAUUCUAAGGCGCUUGAGUGAUUCACGGUUAAGGAACUAGGCAAACUGACCCUGUAACUUCGGGAUAAAGGGUCCCUACCCUUUUAUGGGAGGGCGCAGAGAAUCGGUCCAGGCAACUGUUUAACAAAAACACAGGGCUGUGCCAAAUCGAAAGAUCCAGUAUACAGCCUGACACCUGCCCGGUGCUGGAAGGUUAAGAGGAGAUGUCAUCGAUAAGAGAAGCGUUGAAUUGAAGCCCCAGUAAACGGCGGCCGUAACUAUAACGGUCCUAAGGUAGCGAAAUUCCUUGUCGGGUAAGUUCCGACCUGCACGAAUGGUGUAAUGAUCUGGACGCUGUCUCAACCGUGAGCUCAGUGAAAUUGUAGUAUCGGUGAAGAUGCCGAUUACCCGCGAUGGGACGAAAAGACCCCGUGAACCUUUACUAUAGCUUAUCAUUGAAUCUGGGCACGUGAUGUGUAGGAUAGGUCGGAGGCUUUGAAGCAGGUACGCCAGUAUUUGUGGAGCCGCUGUUGAAAUACGACCCUUUAUUUGUUUGGAUUCUAACCCGUGGAACGGGGACAUUGAUUGGUGGGUAGUUUGACUGGGGUGGUCGCCUCCAAAAGCGUAACGGAGGCUUCUA